CAGGGUUUACUUUCAGGUAUCAUUUCUAUAGUUCAUUACUAGAGAAGUUUCUCUUAAUGUGUGGAGCACCACUAGAGUAGACCUUUAAAAAUAUUAAAAUAAUAUCUUUUGCUCUGU
ensembl:snoRNA U3 Small nucleolar RNA U3